UUAACCCUGAGUUUCUGUACGUUGAGUAUAUACAGAUGCUCUUUGCUGUCAUUUAAGUGCAGCAAGGCCAGGCGGCACAUGACACAGACAGACAGGGUGUCUACAGGGCGGCCAUUAGGGCCAAGAACAAAACCCUGCUGAGCUGCUGGCAGGGGGAACAUGUUAAACAUGUGGAGCCAUUGUUCUCCCAAAUUGGUCUGCGACUAAUUGCCCAGUUAUUCCCUUCCGACGGGCCACGUUUGUCUACCCGAGCUGGAACCAGUCAUCUUUAGGGUUGUAAAAUGGCGGGUGCAGGCAGGCAGGCAGGCGGGGCUGGUCCAUGUUUAAGAACCGCGGAAGGGCUCGAAUUAAGUCAAGGUUGAAUAAAUCACAACCCAGUUGGGGAUGGAGUCCUGAGUCAAGAGGGGAAAGUCUGAAAUGGCCCAAAGGCAUGGGAGGCUUGAGACGCACAUCUACACGUGGAGACGGAUGACAUCAAACCAAAGCUAAAAUGCUCUUUUGUCAUUCUGUUGAUGGAUUACAAGGACUAAAUUAACACGGCUCUUCCAUUUCAAUGGGAUGUUAAACCACUUCAUUUCUAAAAACAUGGUUGCCUUAAAAGUAGCAUCGAACUGUUAAAUCCAGCGACUGUCACACGCUGCCAAAAGAAGGCAGCAAGCAUCCAAGUUGGGCAGAUAAAAGCCAAAUGCUUGACUGCCUUGUUACAACUUCUCGACCACUCAUACUGGCUCAGGUUCCUUCCCGGUCAGAGAGGGGACGUUCCUCUCCCUGGGGGACGGGGGACCCAUGGUACCCUUUCGGACUGUGCCCGGCCGGCCAUGGGUGCAGGCUCGGCCACCACGGGCCGUAUGCCCCUCCUGAAACGAAUGUGGUGGUUUUUUUUCAUUGAUGAAGCUUCAUUUGUAGAAUCCCAUUUCUCAUUUGUUGUGUAAUUUGGAUGUCGAUGUUUUUCAUUGCUUCAAUGUGCACUUUGGACACGUUUUCCACUUGUUUAGAGUGCAUUUAGGAUUCGUUUGUUUUUCAUUAGUACAUUUUUAAAAUGCCUGUUUUUUUUAUUAGUCCAGAGAACAUUUAGAUGCAUGUUUUUUUUCCAAUUAGUACACAAUAGAGGACAUUUUUCCAUUUAUAUAUGUUAGAAAAGUUCAUGUUUUUCCAUUGGUAAAUUUGGACAUAAUACUUAUAUACUAUAUAUAAGUAUGUUUCUUUCGGCUUCUCCUGUUAGGGGUCGUCACAGUGUAACAUCUGAGAUCAACACUCAUAUUUGUUUGGCAUAGUUUUUACACCGGAUGCCCUCCCUGAUGCUGGAAAGGAAGUGAAGAAACGGGUCCAAGCGGAGUGGAACAGUUGGCAGAAGGUGUCUGGUGUUCGAUGUGACAGAAGAGUAACCGCCAGGAUGAAGGGCAAAGUUUAUAAAACAGUGGUGAGGCUGGCCAUGAGGUACGGAUGAGAGACGGUGGCUCUGAAGAAACAACAGGAAUCAGAACUGGAAGUGGCAGAAAUGAAGAUGUUUAUGUUCUCGCACGGAGUGAGGAGGUUGGAUAGGAUUAGAAAUGGUUAUAAAACAGUGGUGAGGCCGGCCAUGAUGUAUGGAUCAAAGACCGUGGCACUGAAAAAGAAAGAGGAAGUAGAACUGGAGGUGGGAGAAAUGAAGCUGUUGAGGUUCUCGGAGGUUGGAUAGGAUUAGAAAUGAGCUCAUCAGAGGGACAGCCAAAGUUGGAUGUUUUGGAGACAAGGUAAGAGAGCAGACUUUGAUGGUUUGGACAUGUUCAGAGGCGAGAGAGUGACUAUAUUGGUAGAAGGGUGCUGAGGAUGGAACUGCCAGCCAAAAGAGCGAGAGGAAGACCAAAGAAAGGUUGAUGGAUGUUGUGAGGGAGGACAUGAGGACAGUGGGUGUUAGUUAGGAGGAUGCACGAGAUGGGAUUAGAUGGAAAAAGAUGACACACUGUAGCAACCCUUAACGGGACAAGCCGAAAGGAAAAGAAGAAAUUUGGACAUAAUCUUUUAGGAGAACCAUCAUUAUUGAUCAACACAGAAAAAGCACGAGCGUGUUUUUUUUCUCUCGGGGUUGCCUCACACACUCUGCCUUGAGUUGGCUAGGUGAAAGCUGGGUUGUGAUUGCCCAUUGUCUUCCCUACGUUCACAUCCAGCAAACAUAUACACACACACCCCCCAACUCCCUCCUCCUCCUCCUCCCUCUCUGUCUGCAGCCAUGACAAAAAACCCGUUGUCUCCAAACACAUCGUCUCGGCGUCUUUGAUAAGUACAUGAUAAGAGACUGACAGACUGAUGGGGCUGGCUUUUGCACUUGUAUAUAAAGCCACCGGCGGUCCCCUCGGCCACACUCCCGUCAUCUGCUCUCAACAUGGCUGCUCUCAUCAUCGUCUACCUCACGGUGACUCUCCUGGCCUUGCUGGAGGCCUUUGACCUAGGCCAAUCCACCCGCUGUGUGGCCAUCCCCAACCAGAUGAAGGUGUGCAAAGACGUGGGCUACUCAGAGAUGCGCCUUCCCAACUUCUUGGGCCACAGUAACCUGGAGGGCGAAGUCGUGCCCCGCUCUGAAGACUGGAGACCCCUGCUGCAGACGGGCUGCCACCCUCAAGCUCAGGCCUUCCUCUGCUCCCUCAUUGCUCCAGUCUGUCUCGACACGUUCAUCCAGCCCUGUCGGAGUUUGUGCGUGGCCGUGAGAGACAGCUGCGCCCCCGUGCUGGCCUGCCAGGGCCACCCUUGGCCCCAAGCCCUUGACUGUGACCGCUUCCCCACCGAAGAGGACAUGUGCCUGUCUCCGCACGCCAAGUUCAGCCAUUAUGCUAAAGAUUUGCCCAAAGCAGCGUGUCAAAACUGUCCGGCGGUGGAAGAAGCACCCGCUAUGAAAACGGUCCUGGAUGCUUUUUGCCAGCAUGAUUUUGCCGUGACAGCUAAGCUGCACCGGCGCCGCCUCCUGACGGGCGAGCCCGAGUUUGAGGUGGAGGGCCGCGUGGAAUUCAUCCGCCAGGGUCCGCUGCUGCCCUACGACACCAACCACCUGCUGCACCAAUGGCUGCUCAUCAAUUCACGGUGCGCCAACGCGAUGGCGCGGCCCGGACGCUCGCAGCUCUACGUGCUGACCGGGUCGGUGCGGCCCGACGGCACCCUCGCUAUCGCCCGCCUAUUCCCCUGGCACAAGAAGGACGCCGGCAUCGCCGUGGCCACGCGCAAGUGGAAGCAUCACAGAUGUUGACAUGGAGCGUUUGAGCAUUUUGAGGCAAAACCUGCUCAGAAUGUGGAAACGACGCACACAUGACAUUUUGGCACCGGGCAAUAAACAACGCGCAAAUUCUAGGACUCCUUUUUGUUUGGAUGAAGCUUCUGGGGCCGCUCAGCGUAGCAGUCGCUCCUGGCAGGGUGAGGGAGAGCUCCGUCCGCCGGCAUCCGCCAUCCACACGAGAGGCGCUCUGAGCUCGCUGAACCGCAACGACCUGCUGUACUGCCGCCGAGACUCUUAACAAGGUCAAAAAUCGCUCGUGCAUCCUGCAGUGCUCCACGGUGCCAGGACCAGAUUGUUAAAUUGCAUUUACGAUCCUCUCAUCUCGUAUUAUCGUUCUGUAUCUGCAUCUUUAUGGAUAUUGCUUCUGGAGACUUUUUUUGGCGGGGUCUUCUCAUGAUAGCUGCACAGACCAAUAUUGACGGUGCCGAGUGAAACGGGCUUUCAGGGGAUGAAUUUUCCCCAAAAUUCCAGUUUCAAUUUUUUGGGCAUGGGAAAAAGCCUUUAAGUGGAAAUUUACUUGGCCUAAGAAUAAAAAUUCACCGACAGGCCUUAAAUAUUUUAAUACUGUAACCAAAAUAGAACGGCAAAGAUGACUGCUACAUUGGAGAUGAA